UACGUAGGGGGCAAGCGUUGUCCGGAAUCAUUGGGCGUAAAGCGCGUGUAGGCGGCCCGGUAAGUCCGCUGUGAAAGUCGGGGGCUCAACCCUCGGAUGCCGGUGGAUACUGUCGGGCUAGAGUGCGGAAGAGGCGAGUGGAAUUCCUGGUGUAGCGGUGAAAUGCGCAGAUAUCAGGAGGAACACCAAUUGCGAAGGCAGCUCGCUGGGACGUUACUGACGCUGAGACGCGAAAGCGUGGGGAGCAAACAGG
rnacentral:rRNA from 1 species